rnacentral:rRNA from 1 species
AACGAACGCAGGCGGCAGGCUUAACACAUGCAAGUCGAACGCCCCGCAAGGGGAGUGGCAGACGGGUGAGUAACGCGUGGGAAUCUACCCAUCUCUGCGGAAUAGCUCUGGGAAACUGGAAUUAAUACCGCAUACGCCCUACGGGGGAAAGAUUUAUCGGGGAUGGAUGAGCCCGCGUUGGAUUAGCUAGUUGGUGGGGUAAAGGCCUACCAAGGCGACGAUCCAUAGCUGGUCUGAGAGGAUGAUCAGCCACAUUGGGACUGAGACACGGCCCAAACUCCUACGGGGGGCAGCAGUGGGGAAUAUUGGACAAUGGGCGCAAGCCUGAUCCAGCCAUGCCGCGUGAGUGAUGAAGGCCUUAGGGUUGUAAAGCUCUUUCACCGAUGAAGAUAAUGACGGUAGUCGGAGAAGAAGCCCCGGCUAACUUCGUGCCAGCCGCCGCAGUAA